UACGUAGGGUGCAAGCGUUAAUCGGAAUUACUGGGCGUAAAGCGUGCGCAGGCGGUUAUGUAAGACAGGUGUGAAAUCCCCGGGCUUAACCUGGGAACUGCAUUUGUGACUGCAUAGCUAGAGUACGGUAGAGGGGGAUGGAAUUCCGCGUGUAGCAGUGAAAUGCGUAGAUAUGCGGAGGAACACCGAUGGCGAAGGCAAUCCCCUGGACCUGUACUGACGCUCAUGCACGAAAGCGUGGGGAGCGAACAGG
rnacentral:rRNA from 1 species